rnacentral:rRNA from 1 species
UACAGAGGUCUCAAGCGUUGUUCGGAUUCAUUGGGCGUAAAGGGUGCGUAGGCGGCGCGGUAAGUCGGGUGUGAAAUCUCGGAGCUUAACUCAGAAACUGCCAUGGAUACUAUUUGUCUUGAAUAUUGUGGAGGUAAGCGGAAUAUGUCAUGUAGCGGUGAAAUGCUUAGAUAUGACAUAGAACACCAAUUGCGAAGGCAGCUUACUACACAGUUAUUGACGCUGAGGCACGAAAGCGUGGGGAUCAAACAGG